GGGGCCAGAUGUGCCAAUAGUGUGAUUAUUUCCACCUUGCACUUGUGGUUGAACAACAAAAGGAGGGGCUGGUAGAGAGCCUCUGAUGCUUGCCUUUUGCUUUUUUGCUUUUCCAGCUCAACGAUGAGAUCUGUGACCUUUUGAGUUGGAAAUCUGGAUUCAAGCUUGUAAUCUGCUACGCAUUCUAAUAUGGUUCUAAGAGCAGCUACUUCUUUACCUAUGGCCUCAACCUGUGCUUCAGGCAAAUCCUUUCCAUAAAGGGAGAUGUAUGCA
rnacentral:misc_RNA from 1 species